ACUUAAAUUGAAGAGUUUGAUCAUGGCUCAGAUUGAACGCUGGCGGCAGGCCUAACACAUGCAAGUCGAGCGGCAGCGGGAAAGUAGCUUGCUACUUUUGCCGGCGAGCGGCGGACGGGUGAGUAAU
rnacentral:rRNA from 1 species